rnacentral:rRNA from 1 species
GGGGAAUAUUGCGCAAUGGGGGAAACCCUGACGCAGCAACGCCGCGUGAAGGAUGAAGGUUUUCGGAUCGUAAACUUCUUUGAUGAGGGACGAAUAAUGACGGUACCUCAAAAACGAGCCACGGCUAACUACGUGCCAGCAGCCGCGGUAAUACGUAGGUGGCGAGCGUUGUCCGGAAUUACUGGGUGUAAAGGGCGUGUAGGCGGGAAGACAAGUCAGAUGUGAAAUACCGUGGCUUAACCACGGGGCUGCAUCUGAAACUGUUUUUCUUGAGUGUCGGAGAGGAAAGUGGAAUUCCCAGUGUAGCGGUGAAAUGCGUAGAUAUUGGGAGGAACACCAGUGGCGAAGGCGACUUUCUGGACGAUAACUGACGCUGAGGCGCGAAAGCGUGGGGAGCAAAC